UCUGGACUGCUAUAUUUCAGCUAAAGGAAAGCAACGAUACCAGCACCUGAAGCACAAAGACUUGCAGGUUUCACAUCUGACAAAUCUAAAAUAUUCCUGAAGAUUCCAGUGCGCUCAGGUAACAGAAGGAGAGAAACCAGCAUGAUAUCCAGCAACAUUUUGAUGGUGGCUUGUAAAUUAGUUUUUUUGAUUUAYACCUUAGAAAUCCAGUUGCCUCACACCAGGAACAUUGUUUGUGGUCAUGUGCAGAUGGCUAUCUGGAAUAACUGAAUUACGGUGGAGACU